rnacentral:lncRNA from 1 species
CUGUAGAAUAAAUUCGACAUGUGAUGGUGAGCUGAGGUAUAGUCAUGCUUCGUCUAAUACACCUGAAUCCUUUUCUUGAUGAUCCACUUAAUUACUUUUAUCAUAAUUUACCCAAAGAUGGACUUAGCUGGAUAAAUUAUGAUAAAAGUAAUUAAAGUGGAAUUCUGCUCUGGAGGUUAAUAGAGUGUCAGAACUGGCGAGUACUUUCCUUGGCCAGCACAGCCUGUUUAUAAGCAUGAAGAGGCCCAACAUGAGGCAUGGAAAGAUAUGCUCCUUAAUACUAUCAUGCAAAUUUGAUCCCUUAGGGCUAUAUAAUAUACUCAAUGUGUUAAAUUUACUUAUUUUCCGCAUGACGAAUCUAUAGUUGUUGGAUUUAGCCGGAGUAAUCUCUUCAUUUCUAAUAAUAGUUUUCUAUAACAUUACUUAUAUCAGGCCGAGAAGCCUCAUAAUGAAACACUGCAUUGUUUUGUUGCUCUGUUCCGAAAUGAUUGUUCACAGAUUAAAUUAUUUGUAGAGAUGGAGGACCUAGCUCUCAAACUGACCAUGUUGGGAGAUUGUGAGGAAAAUAUGUUUCUAUGUGGAGGAAGCCUUUUAUAAAUAACUCAUGGUACAUGAGUCGUGAUCCUAGGGUCAAACCUCCACUUUGUGAUACUGAUGAUAAUUCCAAAUAAUGUCUGGUAUUUUCAACCCCAUCUGAUAUGCUUUUAAUAGUUAUGCCUCAAUUCAAGGACUAAAUUCAGAAUAUGUAUUAAGAAAGUUGUCCAUACUUUUUUUAGAUUUGUUUUGAACAUUUGCAUAAUUAUGCAAUCAUCUCUUGCAAAGUGUAGUCUCAUGAUUUCAACUUAUUUUUUUGUUGAUGAGUGAAUGUGUGAUACGUAAUUGGCUUCUGCUUUGCCAGGCUGCGAAAUCCAUAGCUCGGAUGCAAGAAACUUUGUUAUCAAGCCGUUUUCUACACACGACUAAUUUUGUUACUACUUUCCAUUAUUGCGUGCCGAUCAUGCUAUGUUUAUGAGCCUCUAGCUAACAAGGCUUCCUCCCAGCUGCAACCUUGAA